rnacentral:rRNA from 1 species
CGGGGGGGGCGAGCGUUGUUCGGAAUUACUGGGCGUAAAGGGCGCGUAGGCGGUGCUCUAAGUUAGAUGUGAAAACUCUGGGCUCAACCCAGAGCCUGCAUCUAAAACUGGAGUGCUAGAGUUCUGGAGGGGGUAGCGGAAUUCCUGGUGUAGCGGUGAAAUGCGUAGAUAUCAGGAGGAACACCGGUGGCGAAGGCGGCUACCUGGACAGAAACUGACGCUGAGGCGCGAAAGCUAGGGGAGCAAACAGGAUUAGAUACCCUGGUAGUCCUAGCCCUAAACGAUGGAUACUUGGUGUGACUGGGAUUGAAUCCAGUCGUGCCGAAGCUAACGCAUUAAGUACCCCGCCUGGGGAGUACGGUCGCAAGGCUG